rnacentral:rRNA from 1 species
UAUAAUUUACUUGAAUUUGACAACCCUACUUGGAUACCGGUGGUAAUUCUAGCGCUAAUACAUGCACCAAAGCUCCGACCGCGAGGGAAGAGCGCAUUUAUUAGAACAAAACCACACGGCUUCGGCCGUCCAAUGUUGACUCAGAAUAACUAAGCUGAUCGCAUGGUCUUGCACCGGCGACGUUUCUUUCAAGUAUCUGCCUUAUCAACUUUCGAUGGUAGUGUAUCUGACUACCAUGGUGAUGACGGGUAACGGAGGAUAAGGGUUCGACUCCGGAGAAGGGGCCUGAGAAAUGGCCACUACGUCUAAGGAUGGCAGCAGGCGCGCAAAUUACCCACUCUCAGUACGAGGAGGUAGUGACGAGAAAUAACAAGACCGUUCUCACAGGAGGCCGGUCAUUGGAAUGGGUACAAUUUAAACCCUUUAACGAGUAUCUAUGAGAGGGCAAGUCUGGUGCCAGCAGCCGCGGUAAUUCCAGCUCUCAAAAUGCAUAGAAUUAUUGCUGCGGUUAAAAAGCUCGUAGUUGGAUCUGUGCUGGCCUCCCGGUCCACCUCCGGGUGCGCACUGGGCAGGUUGGCUUUUCUGUCGUUCAAUGCGGAUGUUCCGAGAGGGGCGUCCGUAUAUCGACAAUUUUACCUUGAACAAAUCAGAGUGCUCAAAACAGGCGUUUCGCUUGAAUGUUCGUGCAUGGAAUAAUAGAAGAGGAUUUCGGUUCUAUUUUAUUGGUUUUAUAGACUGAGAUAAUGGUUAACAGAGACAAACGGGGGCAUUCGUAUUGCUGCGUGAGAGGUGAAAUUCUUGGACCGUAGCAAGACGGACUACAGCGAAAGCAUUUGCCAAGAAUGUCUUCAUUAAUCAAGAACGAAAGUCAGAGGUUCGAA